GACGAACGCUGGCGGCGUGCCUAAUACAUGCAAGUAGGACGCAGUUGCGAACGGGUGAGUAACGCGUAGGUAACUACCUAUUAGAGGGGGCUAAUUAUUGGAAACGAUAGCUAAUACCGCAUACUAGUAGAUGGACCUGUGUUGUAUUAGCUAGUAGGUAGGGUAAUGGCCGACCUAGCCAACGAUACAUAGCCGACCGGAGCGGGGGGUCGGCCACACUGGGACUGAGACACGGCCCAGACUCCUACGGGAGGCAGCAGUAGGGAAUCGUCGGCAAUGGGGGGAACCCUGACCGAUCAACGCCGCGUGAGGGAGGAAGGUUUUCGGAUCGUAAAGCUCUGUUGUUCAGGAAGCGGUACUUAACCAGAAAGGGACGGAUAACUACGUGCCAGCCGCCGCGGUAAUAC
rnacentral:rRNA from 1 species